rnacentral:rRNA from 1 species
AACGUAGGACGCAAGCGUUAUCCGGAGUUACUGGGCGUAAAGCGCGGGCAGGCGGCUCGCCACGUCUGAUGUGAAAUCUCCUCGCUCAACGGGGAGAGGCCAUUGGAAACGGUCGAGCUGGAGGGCAGUAGAGGUAGGCGGAAUUCCGGGUGGAGUGGUGAAAUGCGUAGAUAUCAAGAGGAACACCUGAGGCGAAGGCGGGUUGCUAGGCUGACACUGACGCUGAGUGCGCGAAAGCCAGGGGAGCAAACGGG